rnacentral:rRNA from 1 species
UACGAAGGGAGCUAGCGUUGUUCGGAAUCACUGGGCGUAAAGCGCACGUAGGCGGAUGUGUCAGUCAGGGGUGAAAUCCCGGAGCUCAACUUCGGAACUGCCUUUGAUACAGCACACCUGGAGUCCGGAAGAGGUGGGUGGAAUUCCUAGUGUAGAGGUGAAAUUCGUAGAUAUUAGGAAGAACACCGGUGGCGAAGGCGGCCCACUGGCCCGGUACUGACGCUGAGGUGCGAAAGCGUGGGGAGCAAACAGG